CACCAGAGAUGCGUCAGUGAGUAAAUGCAGCAUUCAUGAUCUAAAGAAAAUGUUGAGCAAGAGAAAAUGAAUAUAUAUAUGAAGAAUUGAUUCACUGGCCAGAAGACCUCUUCCAACAAACAGACCCCAUCGACCAAAGUAAACUGUUUUUCUUUGGCAGGUUUUAAAUAUGGACUUCUGUGGUAGACUUGGCUACAUAUUAUUUUCUGAAGUUAUCAGACGGAUAUGCCUCCUCUCAAGCAUUACUUUCUUCCAGCAAAACACCUCAUGGAAAUAACGCUGGUCCUAGCUGUAACUCUGCUAGGAAUAAAAGAAACUUCACUGCAAUCAAAGUGCAUUGAUUUCAGUCCACGAACCUUUCCUGAAGAACUUCCAACCUAAAACUGGAGAUAGAAACAGCAAGAUGACAGGGACACUAAUUAAGGUACAUAUGUCUUCAAAUGGGUCCAUUUAUUUAGCCGACUCAAAUUUCUUAGGUUGGUGUCACUGAUGCAGUGGAAGAAAGCUUUUGGAAGGGAAUGAGGCUAGUGAGGUGAAAUGGUGUACUCCACGCAGUGAAACAACACUGAACAGUAUUUGGAAUCGAGGUUGGAGAAGAACCCAGACAUGCCCCAGUUCACACUUCCUAAUUCAUAUCUACUUAGAAAAAGCGAGUUUGUUACAAGUAUAUCAGAGUAGGGAACUCAAGGACAAACUCUUCAGUGAGUGGCUUGAAAGAAAGGAAGCAAGCUACUUGAGUGCUAUGUAAUGUAAUGAACAAAAAUGAACAGCUAAUUCAUCUUUGAAACAUCCAACUUUCACAGAAACAUCAGUAUUGACAAAAAGAUUGUUAUAAUUUAGGUACAACAUAGGGGAUAUUUUCAUAUUCAGAAGCAAAAGAAUGUUAAUCUAUAGCCAUUUCUAAAUGUAUUAUGAAAUGACUUAGUUUCAAAGAACGAACUUUAAAAGGUUUCAUUUCAAUACACAACCACAGUUGUUACUAAUAUCAAAUUCCCCAUGCUUUAAGACUGCAUAAAUGCUUUUAAAACAAUGCCCUGAAGAUAAUUUUAGGUUAAUUUAAGUGACCAUCAUAAUUAUGGGUUACAACAACCUUUAGAAAGAGUUUGGUUGCAUACUUGUUGCUAUUCUGUUUGAAUAUUAAUGAUUUGAAGGCUUGAAUAACAUAUAUUGGUAAAUUAUAUAUAUGCGAUAAAUUUUUUAGAACUUUUAUCUUGAUUUUUAUGAGGACUGUGUUUCUCUGCCUUAGGCAUCAGUGUGGCAUAUACUGUUUCAAAUACAGAUAUUCUGUUCCUUCUACAAAAUAAAUGGAAAACAGACCUUAAUA